GGCCAGAUAGCACAGUGUGGUUAGUGCGCGGGUUCUUGAUGGGUUCAACGGAAAUAUUUAAUCCGCUACCCUCGUUCGAUUUGGGGUCUGGCCU